CCGCGGACGGACGGACGGAGGGACGGACGGACGGAGGGACGGACAGACGGCCCGCUGCCGCUCGGGCCCGGCCGAAGCGCUCCCCUCUGCUCGGAGGCCCGGGAGCGCGUUGCAGCGGGCGUUGGCGAAAGCAUCUGGUUGUCCCCUGCCCCCCUCUCGCCCCACACAGGGCCCGGGGACGCCGAGGCGGACACAGACCGCUGUACCCCCCCCCCGGGUGAUGGAGGGGGAGCGGAGCCCACCGGCUCGGGGUACCCACCGUCCCCCUGCGGUGGGGCGGGCGGCACUGAUUUACCGGCGGGGCUCCCUGCCUGCCCGCCCACGGCACACGCAAAUCCCCCGAAACCCCGCUCCGGAGUAGGGGGGGGACCGUGGGGUGCCCUAGGUCCGCCUUCUCCCCCCCCCGGGGGACCCCGACUCAGCGCAGGCGUUCGAGAGGUGAAAAUGCCAGCGCUGUCUCCAGCUGGCUCCGAAAAGAAAAACUCACCAACCCCGGCCUCCCACGGGCCUCCUCUGCCCCGCGGGACCGGCGUGGGGCACCCACGGGCCGGGGAGUCCGCGGAGCCCGAGGAGGGGGGGGAAUCCUCUCCACACCCCCGGGCCACGGGCACGGAUGGCACGGUAGCCCCCGGCCUGCCGCCGCCCCCCCCUCCUAGGGCAGUGCAUCUGGGUUGGGGGGGCUGGUUGUUGUUGUUUUUCAUUGUAUUUUGCAAUUCGCCCAGGUCCGUUCCCGGCUGGGCCCUUUGCCGGGGCCAAGCCCCCAAUCCCGGAGAGAGCCGGCCGGGGUGUUUCAAAGAGGGAAAUUAAAAGGGUAAAAAAAAAGAAAAAAACCUCAGAUUUUAAAAAAAAUCUAAUACAGAAGAAAAAAAAAAGUCCCUUUCAGGCGAGUUUGAAUUUGCGUUUUCUCGGUGUCGUUCCCGUCUUUUUAGUUAAACAUCCCCCUGUUUAUCAUCAGCCUUUCUACACCGCUGCGCUCCGUAAUGGGAUUUUACCCUCCUUUACUGGGCACUAGUGCUGUACAAACACCGCAGCCCUCUCGUCCCGGACUCUGCUGGCAAAGCUCCGGGGACCCCCCCUCUUCCCCCCCCCCGCCAUCCCCGAGCGAAGCCGAAGAAGAAACUUCCCUCCCACCCGGGUCCAGACACUUUCUCUGCCGUGAGCAUCCUCGACGGGGCGGGGGGGGGGGGGGGGGAAGGCAGCCUAGACCCCUCCUCAUCCCGGGCAGCGUUGCAAGGGGGGGGAACACACACACUUCCCCCCCCCCAACUUUUCCCCCCUCGGAAGAGCGCCUGCGCCUGAUUAAAUAUAUAUGCGGUUAAUGCACUCAACAAAUAUUGAAGUUACGAUGUAAUUAAGCCUGGAGAACAUCCCCGCGCAAUAAACCCGUUGCUGGACGGGAUCCAUCGCUGCGCGCCGCGCCAGGUUUGUGGGGGAGAGAAAAAAAAAAUUAAAAAAAUCUUUAAAUUAUGUAUUAGAGGGUCCCAGUUUAUUCUGCCGCACUCGGGUCGAUGCUGAGGGUAAAUACGCCCGCUCCGUCCCCGUCCCGUCCCCCCCCCGGCUCCGCUCGCCUUUCCCCUUUCUUAUGUAUUUUUGUGCCCCCCUCCCCUUUGCUGAGCCCUCCCGGGUUUCCUUCCACGUCGCUAAAUGUUGUCGCUUACACUCCAAGCUCAUGCAUUGUUUAUGGAAAAUAUAGUUAAUAAAUAAUUACAAAUCCG
ensembl:lncRNA